rnacentral:rRNA from 1 species
UUCCGGUUGAUCCCGCCGGAGGCUACUGCUAUUGGAGUUCGAUUAAGCUAUGCAUAUCUAGGCAUCUGGAAGGGUGCCUGGUAAAAAGCUCAGUAACACGUGGACAACUUACCUUCAAGAGGGGCAUAACUUCGGGAAACUGAGGAUAAUACCCCAUAGUUUAGAUGUUCUGGAAUGACGCUAAACAAAAUGAGUUAUUCUAUUCCGAGUAAUUUUCGCUUGAAGAAGGGUCUGCGUCGGAUUAGGUUGAUGUUAGGGUAACUGCCUAACAUGCCGACAAUCCGUACCGGCUAUGAAAGUAGGAGCCGGGAGAUGGAUACUGAGACAAGGAUCCAGGCUCUACGGAGCGCAGCAGGCGCGAAAACUUCGCAAUGCGCGCAAGCGUGACGAGGGAACUCCAAGUGCCUCUCAAAAGAGAGGCUAUUGUGAUAUGUAAAAAGUAUCUCGAAUAAGGACUGGUCAAGACUAGUGCCAGCCUCCGCGGUAAAACUAGCAGUUCGAGUGGUAGCCACGAUUAUUGGGCUUAAAGCGUUCGUAGCCGGCUUAAUAAGUUCUCUGUGAAAUCCUUGGGCUUAACUUAAGGGCUUGCAGAGAAUACUAUUUCGCUUGGAGUUGGGAGAAGUCAAGGGAACUACUAGGGUAGCGGUGAAAUGCUAUAAUCCUAGUAGGACCGCCAAUGGCGAAGGCACUUGACUAGAACAAGCUCGACGGUGAGGAACGAGAGCUAGGGGAGCGAACCGGAUUAGAUACCCGGGUAGUCCUAGCCGUAAACGAUGUGGACUGAGUGUUUCCCGAACUUAGGGUUCGGGAAGUGCUGAAGGGAAACCGUUAAGUCCACCGCCUGGGGAGUACGGUCGCAAGGCUGAAACUUAAAGGAAUUGGCGGGGGAGCACCACAAGGGGUGGAGUCUGCGGUUUAAUUGGAUUCAACGCCGGA